AAUUUUGGACAAUGGGCGCAAGCCUGAUCCAGCCAUGCCGCGUGAGUGAAGAAGGCCCCCGGGUUGUAAAGCUCUUUCGGACGGAAAGAAAUCGCGCGGGCACAUACCCUGCGCGGAGGACGGUACCGUCAUAAGCAGCCCCUGCCAACUACGCGCCAGCAGCCGCGGUAAUACGUAGGGAGCGAGCGUUAAUCGGAAUUACUGGGCGUAAAGCGUGCGCAGGCGGUUGAUUAAGACAGGCGUGAAAUCCCCGGGCUUAACCUGGGAACUGCGCUUGUGACUGGUCAGCUAGAGUACGGCAGAGGGGGGUGGAAUUCCACGUGUAGCAGUGAAAUGCGUAGAGAUGUGGAGGAACACCGAUGGCGAAGGCAGCCCCCUGGGACGAUACUGACGCUCAUGCACGAAAGCGUGGGUAGCAAACAGG
rnacentral:rRNA from 1 species